rnacentral:rRNA from 1 species
UACGUAGGGCGCAAGCGUUGUCCGGAAUUAUUGGGCGUAAAGAGCUCGUAGGCGGCUUGUCACGUCGAUUGUGAAAGCCCGGGGCUUAACUCCGGGUCUGCAGUCGAUACGGGCUAGCUAGAGUGUGGUAGGGGAGAUCGGAAUUCCUGGUGUAGCGGUGAAAUGCGCAGAUAUCAGGAAGAACACCUAUGGCGAAGGCAGCUCUCUGGGACGGUACUGACGCUGAGACGCGAAAGCGUGGGAGCAAACAGG